AUUGAACGCUGGCGGCAGGCCUAACACAUGCAAGUCGAGCGGAUGAAGGGAGCUUGUUCCUGGCUUCAGCGGCGGACGGGCGAGUAAUUCCUAGGAAUCUGCCCGGUAUUGGGGGAUAACGUCCCGAAAGGGGCGCUAAUAUCGCACACGUCCUGAUGUUGAAAGUGGGGGAUCUUUGGACCUCACGCUAUUUGAUGAGCCUAGGUCGGAUUAGCUAGUUGGUGGGGUAAAGGCCUACCAAGGCGACGAUCCGUAGCUGGUCUGAGAGGAUGAUCAGUCACACUGGAACUGAGACACGGUCCAGACUCCUACGGGAGGCAGCAGUAGGGAAUAUUCGGCAAUGGGCGAAAGCCUGAUGCAGCCAUGCCGCGUGUGUGAAGAAGGUCUUCGGAUUGUAAAGCUCUUUAAGUAGGGAAGAAGAGAAGUGAGUUAAUCCCUUGCUGUUUUGACGGUACCUACAGAAUAAGCACCGGCUAACUACGUG
rnacentral:rRNA from 1 species